CGCAGGGAGCGACGAAAUAAAAGCCAUUAUACGUAACGUGGAGAAGCCGUCUCCUGGUGUGAAUGAGACAAGCAGAAUCAGAUCAGGGGAGGAUCGCUGCUUCUCUUACACAAACUGUACCAGCUGACUGUUGCCCUCGGUCCGCUCCUCCCUCCGCUAGACAGCAACGUGGACCUGAGCGGUUGGACCCCGCAGCUGAGCGACUUGCUGGAGCUCACAUGACUCAGUGAUCAGCGCUGUUCGCCCGCUGACAUUAUCUACCUUUACUCCUGAGCCGAUGCAUGGCUUCCCGGGUCAGCCUCGGCUAGGAAUGACAUGCUGAUUCGAAAGGCGGACUGGAACUAGCGCUUGGUUGAGCCAAACAUCAAACACUGCCAGCAGUGAGGGGGUUUUCCACAGCAGGAGGUGUCACAGCUGACCUGCAGUGGAUGCUUGUGCUCGACCUGAGGCUCAUCGAGCAGCAGCAUCAAGAGGCUAGCUGUUUAGCUAACUACCAAUGAAUCCAGCCGACCCUUCCCAAAGCCUGCCUCCCAAUCACACCGCAUUCUGUGCGGUGUCACGGAAGCUUCCGGCUUGUCUACACCUCCACCGCUCCACACCACUAAUGUCCCCGGGUUCCAGCUUCUCCUCCCAGCACCGUGGCUGCUAGUGGCGCUCCUCUGUUACCGAAAGCCAGGCUAACAGCACCCGAUGCUACAAGCUAUACUAAAAAUAAAUAAAUAAAUAAAGCCUUCUUGUGGUCUGG